GACAAUUGGCUUGUGGCAGUCAAGCGUUCAUAACGACGUUGCAUUUUGAUCCUUCGAUGUUGGCUCUUCCUAUCAUACUGGGGCAGAAUUCAGUUAGCGUUGGAUUGUUCACCCACUAAUAGAGACGUGAGCUGGGGUUAGACCGACAAUCUUUCCGCCGAAGGGAACCAAGGGUC
rnacentral:ncRNA from 1 species